UGGGAAAUGUAGUAGAGAAGUGCUGAUCCAGGCAGGAAGUGACAUAGCAAGGAGACUCAUAUUUAAGUGAAGGAGAAACAGGAAGGACCCCUUUUUUCCCCUCCGCUCAUUCUCCAGCAGCAAGAUGUGAUCCCAGCAAGGAGGGAUACCAAUAAGGCGUCCGAUUUAUUCCAUGCUCAGCUGUUAAAAGUCUUUGCUUCCUAGAUAUCUGGAAUCCAGGCAAGUCCCAGGUCUUAAUCUUUUUUAUGGAUCAGCCAGUUCCUGGGAAUAAUGCUGCAUCUGUUGCUCCUUCCUACGGAUUAGCUGCUAAAGGUGUUGCCCCGCCACCUGUUCAGUGGCAGGAAUGGUGUGUGUCCCUUUUUGAAGGAGACCUGUUCACUUAUGCCUUGGGAAAUUUCAGACUAAUAUUUCCCUUGCUUGUGAUUUUCCUUGUGAAGGCCAGAACAUAGAAAGGAAGAGUCCUGGUCAAAAUACAUCUCUUUCCUCCUGGGCCUCUGACUAUUGACAAUUUCUUUCUCCCCAGGAAAAUUACCCUUCCAGUUCACCAGACCUAUUCAGUGCUUAAUCCCACUCCUUUAAGCAAUGGUUUACAACAAGUAUUGAACUGGCUCUUUACUUACUAUCAUUUUAUGACUCAAAAGGACACUCUUCUUGUUUCCAUGACUUUGAAUAUAUUUGGGAGCAGCUGAAAUAACUGGGAGGGCUUGCUCCAGUUACUUUCCUGCAGGAUGUUUUCAAUUCUUAGGUAAAGGUCACAGCCCUUAAAACCUCAGUCACCUUUAUUUCUUUUCUGAUUUCUGUUUAACACAAUUACUGAAAUGGUUUAGUUUUUUUCUAACCAUUGAAAUGUUUAUAAAGGCAAAAAGGCUUGAAGAUUCCUAGCAUCUAUACCUACUCUCAUCAGUAAUGGAGAACUUACAAUUUCCUCACAUGUACCAUGGUUGCUCACCUGAAGUGGACUGGACACACCUGUAUGGAUAGAAGAUCCCAACCAAGGGCAAGGAGGUAGCCUGGUCUGUAAAGUGCUUGUGUGAAAGUAGGGGGAUCUUAUUUAGAUCCAUGGAACCAAGAUUCAAAACAAACAAAGAACAUGUAUGGUAGCACACUUGUAAUCCCAACUCUGGGGAACUAGAGAGGAGGGUCCCUGGGGCUUGCUGACUGGUGACUAUGCUAACCAGAUUGACAAGCUCCAACCAAUGAAAGUCCUUGUCUCAAAAACAAAGUGGAUGAAUUCUUAGGAACAUCUGAAGUUGUCUUCUGGCUUCUACAUGCAUACAUGUGUGCAUAUGUGCAUACAUGCACAUGAGUUCAAGGACGUGUGUGUGUGUGUGUGUGUGUGUGUGUGUGUGUGUGUGUGUGUGUGUGAAGAGUAGGGGAAAAAGUCUAAGAAGAGAGAAACAAAGUACCUUGAUCCAGGAUCAAGGUCCUCAGAGCAUUUAGGACAUUACAAAUCAAAAAACCUAUAGCCUACUGGUUCCAAAGAGGCUCAUCCAUGACUUGGUUAGUAGUACCUUGGUUUGGGCUAUGGACCUGACUUGGUUAACAAUCAAAAAGUCAAAAUCUUAACUAGAAACUAAAUGAUCUGCUUCUCACCUCAAAUAUUUUAUAAGGGAAAGAUGGAGCUAUAUAUGUGGUCAUAACUUGACACUCAUAAGGGAGGUCCAUGUUGUUGAAAGCUCUGAGAAUGAGAAAGUGAUUUGGCCAGACAGUUGCUGGCAGGGAAGGCAGAUGUGUCAAUGCAUUGAACAAAGAGAAAAAUCUCAUUGUUUCAGACCCACAAAUAACGAUCAAGGUUGCUUGAACUCAACAAUAGGCAAAAAGAAGUUGUUGGCUUUUAUUUCUCUUUUAAUAAUCAAAUAUGAAGAAUUGCUAACAGAAAACAGAUUGAACAUGAAUUCCAACAUCAUUAAAAAUAUAGUUUUAUUUAAUAUGUGUCUCAGAACCAAAGUCUUUCCUAGCCACCUUUUGCAUUUCAAAUGAAGACAAGUGUAGAAGCUGAAGAAAACAACAGUAGAUUUGUGUGUGUGUGUGUGUGUGUGUGUGUGUGUGUGUGUGUGUGUGUGUUUGUUCUGAAGCAAAAGGUUUUUUGUUAUUUGCUGCUAUGCUCAAUUCUGAACCACUACACUGUUUUAAACUCUGAGUUGAACCAGAUAGAUGUUGUUGGUGGUUUCUUCCUCCAUAGGGCGUAGACCAGCAAAGCCCCUGCCAGGCCUUUGGUCUCCUGGGGUCAUUUCCCAACCACACAGCAGGCCCUGAGAAGGGACACAAGGAUACAGAAUACUUUGACAUUUUUGUUGUCUAGAGCAUCAAGGGCAUAGAACUCCACUUGAGGUUUUUUUUGGCAAGUUUCAAGGAAUAUGAUAUUUUAGCCAACAAUCUCUCCCAAUGUCAUUCAAAUAGAUUCUCAGAAAUGAAUCUGCCAACUGGAUUUUCAAGGUGUCUCAGAUCUUUCCUGACUUCUUUUCCUGAGCCACGACUCUUUCCAGUAAACAGAAAUUACUGUUGGAAGUUGUUUAUGUCACUCUCACAAGCACCAUGGAAGAACAGUAGUUGGAUAAGGAUGCUAGUCUGUGUUUGUGCAAUCAUUAUCAUAACCAUAUUACAUUUUCCAGGUUGAACAGCUGAAGGUUACCCAGAAGCAGAGGGAAGGAGAAUUUGAAUCAAAACACAGACCAGAGAACUAGACUGAUCGAUGUUUUGAGUUUCCAAUUUUAUUCAAAAAGUUUAGCAUUAUUUAAUUUGGCCUCAAGUAAAAUUUGUCUUUCACAAUCUUGCCACAAAUGUUUGCUAAGCAAAUUAAGAGUGAAGCAGAAUGACACAGUACAGUUUAAACAAGUAAAAAAAGAAUAAGGUAUAACUAUUUCCUUUUUGUGCUUUGUUUCCGUAGAUUUUGACAUGAGAGAGAAUAUAUAACUUGACUUAUUUUUUUCUUUCAUAUGCAUACACAUAGUGAGUGAUGUACCUUUCUUUCAUGACAGCAAGAACAUGAAAGAAUCUAUAGAGGAAGACUCCUACUGACUGACUAAAGUCCUUAUUACUGUCUCACCAUUCAUUUUUGGCAUUUCUAAUUCUGUAUUUUUAAAUCAACUUUUGUUAUAUCCAAUGAGUACUGAUGUAAUUAUAUUAUG
ensembl:lncRNA